GAUGAACGCUAGCUACAGGCUUAACACAUGCAAGUCGAGGGGAGUGGCGAACGGGUGAGUAAUGUAUCGGAACGUGCCCAGUAGCGGGGGAUAACUACGCGAAAGCGUAGCUAAUACCGCAUACUAUUGGAGCGGCCGAUAUGGGAUUAGCUAGUUGGUGGGGUAACGGCUCACCCAGGCGACGAUCCGUAGCUGGUUUGAGAGGACGACCAGCCACACUGGGACUGAGACAAGGCCCAGACUCCUACGGGAGGCAGCAGUGGGGAAUUUUGGACAAGGGGGGAAACCCUGAUCCAGCCAUCCCGCGUGUGCGAUGAAGGCCUUCGGGUUGUAAAGCACUUUUAGCAGGAAAGCGGUACCUGCAGAAUAAGCACCGGCUAACUACGUGCCAGCAGCCGCGGUAAUAC
rnacentral:rRNA from 1 species